rnacentral:rRNA from 1 species
UAGGUAACCUGCCUUGUANCGGGGGAUAACUAUUGGAAACGAUAGCUAAUACCGCAUAACAAUGGAUGACACAUGUCAUUUAUUUGAAAGGGGCAAUUGCUCCACUACAAGAUGGACCUGCGUUGUAUUAGCUAGUAGGUGAGGUAAUGGCUCACCUAGGCGACGAUACAUAGCCGACCUGAGAGGGUGAUCGGCCACACUGGGACUGAGACGCGGCCCAGACUCCUACGGGAGGCAGCAUG